UACGUAGGUGGCGAGCGUUGUCCGGAAUCAUUGGGCGUAAAGCGCGUGUAGGCGGUUCGGUAAGUCUGCUGUGAAAGUCGGGGGCUCAACCCUCGAAUGCCGGUGGAUACUGUCGGACUAGAGUGCGGAAGAGGCGAGUGGAAUUCCUGGUGUAGCGGUGAAAUGCGCAGAUAUCAGGAGGAACACCAAUUGCGAAGGCAGCUCGCUGGGACGUUACUGACGCUGGAGACGCGAAAAGCGUGGGGAGCAAACAGG
rnacentral:rRNA from 1 species